rnacentral:misc_RNA from 1 species
GAAAUGCGAUAAUUAAUGUGAAUUGCAGAAUUCAGUGAAUCAUCGAGUCUUUGAACGCACAUUGCGCCCCCUGGUAUUCCGGGGGGCAUGCCUGUCCGAGCGUCAUUGCUGCCCUCAAGCACGGCUUGUGUGUUGGGCUUCCGUCCCUGGCAACGGGGACGGGCCCAAAAGGCAGAGGCGGCACCAUGUCUGGUCCUCGAGCGUAUGGGGCUUUGUCACCCGCUCCCGUAGGUCCAGCUGGCAGCUAGCCUCGCAACCAAUCUUUUUAACCAGGUUGACCUCGGAUCAGGUAGGGAUACCCGCUGAACUUAAGC